UUGGAGGGCAAGUCUGGUGCCAGCAGCCGCGGUAAUUCCAGCUCCAAUAGCGUAUAUUAAAGUUGUUGCAGUUAAAAAGCUCGUAGUUGAAUUUCGGGGUUCUACCGUUGGUCGGGCUAACCAGUCUGUACUAGCGUGUAAAAUUUCUACCUUCUGGAGAACCAUCAUGUUAUUAAUUUAGCGUGGUGGGAAACCAGGGCCUUUACCUUGAAAAAAUUAGAGUGUUCAAAGCAGGCUUACGUCUGAAUACAUUAGCAUGGAAUAAUAGAAUAGGACGGUGGUCCUGUUUUGUUGGUUUCUGAAUCACCGUAAUGAUUAAUAGGGAUAGUUGGGGGCAUUAGUAUUCAAUUGUCAGAGGUGAAAUUCUUGGAUUUAUUGAAGACUAACUUUUGCGAAAGCAUUUGCCAAGGAUGUUUUCAUUAAUCAAGAACGAAAGUUAGGGGAUCGAAGACGAUCAGAUACCGUCGUAGUCUUAACCAUAAACUAUGCCGACUAGGGAUCGGACGAUGUUAAAUUUUAUUGACUCGUUCGGCGCCUUACGGGAAAC
rnacentral:rRNA from 1 species